AUUUAUAAAAUAAAUUUAAGAAAAUAUUCAUCAUAGUUGCAAACUCGAAUUUUUAUUUAAAUAUAAUUUUUAUGAAUAUUGUAUGCGUUAAAAAAAGUCAUGAAUAAUAAUAUGAAAAAAUAGAAAAGGCUGACAUAGUUAAUUUUAAAACUAAAAUGUAACAUUUUAUUUAUUUAUCAGUGUUCUUAGGUAAUCACUAAACUUGUAACAAAAUCUUGUCUUUUAACCUGAAUUAAGUGUAUAAUGUCGUGCACAGAUUUUAGUAUUUUUUUUUUUAAGAAAAUUUUAUAAUGGUAUUUAAUAUAUUUCUAAAUAUUUUUUUUUACCUACAACAAAUUAUAAUUAUCAUGUUUUUUAUUUGUAAAUAAAAUCCAAGAAUGUAGUAGUUCAUCUCUCAGUAUUAUCUGUAUCAUUAAGUGAUGACACUUGAUAAUCUCAGGAUUUCUGAAUAUUAUCAACUUUUAAUUUUCUUUUGUAAAAUGUGGUGGGGUUUAAGAAAAGGGAGAUUGUUGUUGGUCACGUUUUGGUGAUAAAGUAGUUGCAGUACAUAAACGGAUUAGUCAUGACAAAAUAGAUAGGUAUGUCAGCAACUUUGUGAUACGCAACCCACUCUUCACCCUAUCUAUAGCUGGUUCGCCUCAUUUCAUUGGCCGAAUAUUUGUAUGGUCAUUUUCCAUAAAUAUAGUGAUAAUAUUAUCAUUUAUGCAUUAAUAUUUAAUAUUGUGCAAAAAUAAUUUGUAACGUAUAGAGGAACAAUGGAAAAUUAUGUAUAUAAUAUACUUAAUACUUAGAAAUGCUUUCAUUGAAUUAAUUAAUAUAUAAUUUGCUUCACAUUAGUGUUACUUUCUUUUUUAUAAAGCCAAGAGGUUGGUUUGUUAGCACAGUACUUUAAGGCGAACUGGCCUAAUGUUACUUGGAGCUUUUGACAGAUUGUCACCAUGCAGACUUCUGAAAUAUAUUUUUUAUGAAGAAUAAGUUGAAUCUGAGUUGGUAUAAAGAAUUGUGAUAAAAUAUCACUACAGUGAUUUUCAAAACGAUGAUCUUCCAAAUUAAUGAAAUUAUUGUAACAUUUAAGUUUAUUUAUUACAGCAAUAUAAUUUGUUUUUAAAACAAAA